CCCUUUCGAAAGAAACUAUGGCGACGGUACCGUCUUCCCCACCUCCGCCAUCAACUCCUUCCAUCUCCGCUUUCCAUUCCGAAUCUUCCGUCACUCUUGCGGAAACGCUGCCUCAGGUUGAUGCUACCGCCGAAAAUGGAACGCUCAAUGUCGAUGACCAAAACCCUCAAAUUGGGAAUCAUUUGCGUGAGUUGGCUUCUUCGAUCUGCUCCUUUUAAAUAUGAGAAUCCAUGGUGUCUGGCUACUAUAACAUGAACUGUCUUUGGAUGAUUCAACUUUGAGCCUGGCAUUCACAGUGGUUAUUUUAACUUUGAGCCAAGGAUUCAAAUCGCGGUCGUGGUCAUGUUUUCGGUCAUGUCACGUUACCGUGAUUGCGGCCAUAGUGGGUAUAUUGAAAGGCAGUGCUACCGCUAUUUCGUGGGCGUUAUCACGGUCGCGGACCGCUAUUAAAACCCUCAGUGAGACCAUAUUGUCAAGCAGAUGGCCCUGCACUUGAUCUUUUACAGAUCCGGUUAAUGCAUUCAAGGAUCAGAGCAAUGGUGAAUUCUUUUCAUUUUUUUUCCAAUUUUGAAUUAUUUAUGACUGAACAUAUAAAAUAAGUAUAUCAUGUCAGCAUAAAGUAUACAUUGUCACGUCUCUAUCAUGUCAACACCAUUAAAAUUUUAAUGGCUGAUCAUAAUUGAACAUUCAAACUGCUUUAGUAGAGUAAAAUCCUGAUUAAUACUUAAACUUCGACGUAUGCAGUCCGAAGACUUCAUUACAUUUAUCAAACUAUAUGUAUCUUCCGGUCCUCCAAUUUUGGCAGAAUUGAUGGCAGUGAGGAGAGGUUGAAACUGUUCCUGGAUUUGGGUUUGUCGGUGAAUCGAAGGCUUAUUUUAUCCACUGUUAAAGAUAUUGCAAACAUUGUGAUCAAUAAAGGUCAUUGUUCGUCAUGUGGCGAUAGUAGCUAAUUGCGAAGCGGAUGAAUUUGCCAAACUAGGGAUUGGUUAAAUUAUGGGGAAUUAAUUAGGUUAUUGUUUUUCUAUUAUUGGUAUAUCGGGAAGAUUGGGAAUGGUAUAUGUUUGUAUCUGGUUGAUUAACCUAGGAGGUAGUUUUUUU